GUUGUCCGGAAUUAUUGGGCGUAAAGAGCUCGUAGGCGGUUUGUUGCGUCGGCUGUGAAAUCCCGAGGCUCAACCUCGGGUCUGCAGUCGAUACGAGCAAACUAGAGUGUUGCAGGGGAGACUGGAAUUCCUGGUGUAGCGGUGAAAUGCGCAGAUAUCAGGAGGAACACCGGUGGCGAAGGCGGGUCUCUGGGCAACAACUGACGCUGAGGAGCGAAAGCGUGGGGAGCGAACAGGAUUAGAUACCCUGGUAGUCCACGCCGUAAACGUUGGGCGCUAGGUGUGGGGCUCAUUCCACGAGUUCCGUGCCGCAGCUAACGCAUUAAGCGCCCCGCCUGGGGAGUACGGCCGCAAGGCUAAAACUCAAAGGAAUUGACGGGGGCCCGCACAAGCGGCGGAGCAUGUUGCUUAAUUCGAUGCAACGCGAAGAACCUUACCUAGGCUUGACAUGCACGGAAAUCCUCCAGAGAUGGUGGGUCCGUAAGGGCCGUGCACAGGUGGUGCAUGGUUGUCGUCAGCUCGUGUCGUGAGAUGUUGGGUUAAGUCCCGCAACGAGCGCAACCCUCGUUCUAUGUUGCCAGCACGUAAUGGUGGGGACUCAUAGGAGACUGCCGGGGUCAACUCGGGGGAAGGUGGGGAUGACGUCAAAUCAUCAUGCCCCUUAUGUCUAGGGCUGCAAACAUGCUACAAUGGCCGGUACAAAGGGCUGCGAUACCGUGAGGUGGAGCGAAUCCCAAAAAGCCGGUCUCAGUUCGGAUUGGGGUCUGCAACUCGACCCCAUGAAGUUGGAGUCGCUAGUAAUCG
rnacentral:rRNA from 1 species